rfam:Picoides pubescens contig6904, whole genome shotgun sequence.
GUUGUUACAAUAGUAAUCCUACUCAGUACGAGAGGAGCCACAGAUUCAGACACCUGGUGCGUGCUCUUGGCUGAGGAGCCACUGGCACAAGGCUACCAUCAGACUGAAUGCCUGUAAGUCAGAAUCCUGCCUGGAUGUAGCAAU